CCAUGAUUCUCUAAUUUUUUUAUUCAAAAGCAAAUAACAAAUGAAAACCAACGAAGAAAUAAUAAUAAUAAUUGAGCCGUUAUAUGAAACGAACGAAUAGAAAAAUAUUUGGAAACUACAAACGGAUACGACAAUGCAAGAUUAUAUAGCCAGCCAAUAAUCUACUCUGCUAUAUCGAUAGAGCACCGAUUAAUAUGUGCGAUUGCAAACAGUUCAAUGACACCCUUUCAACAAAGAGACUUUAUAUGUUUUGGCACGGGCGAUCAAUGAAUCGAUGUCACACAGUUAGCAUCAAGAAAGGACAAAAAAGAAGGCGAAGGCCGCGGACAAUGCAGUGAAACAAGCGAAGGUCCAAAACGUCGUAGCUUCUCCCAGGACGUUUUCCAUCUUUGGAAAGAGCUUCGUCACGGCAAAUACCAGACUCCA